rnacentral:rRNA from 1 species
GACGAACGCUGGCGGCGUGCUUAACACAUGCAAGUCGAACGGAAAGGCCCUGCUUUUGUGGGGUGCUCGAGUGGCGAACGGGUGAGUAACACGUGAGUAGCCUGCCCUUGACUUUGGGAUAACUUCAGGAAACUGGGGCUAAUACCGGAUAGGAGCUCCUGCUGCAUGGUGGGGGUUGGAAAGUUUCGGCGGUUGGGGAUGGACUCGCGGCUUAUCAGCUUGUUGGUGGGGUAGUGGCUUACCAAGGCUUUGACGGGUAGCCGGCCUGAGAGGGUGAACGGCCACAUUGGGACUGAGAUACGGCCCAGACUCCUACGGGAGGCAGCAGUGGGGAAUAUUGCCCAAUGGGCGGAAGCCUGAUGCAGCAACGCCGCGUGCGGGAUGACGGCCUUCGGGUUGUAAACCGCUUUCGCCUGUGACGAAGCGUGAGUGACGGUAAUGGGUAAAGAAGCACCGGCUAACUACGUG